GAUGAACGCUGGCGGCGUGCCUAAUACAUGCAAGUCGAGCGAACAGACGAGGAGCUUGCUCCUCUGACGUUAGCGGCGGACGGGUGAGUAACACGUGGAUAACCUACCUAUAAGCCUGGGAUAACUUCGGGAAACCGGAGCUAAUACCGGAUAAUAUAUUGAACCGCAUGGUUCAAUAGUGAAAGACGGUUUUGCUGUCACUUAUAGAUGGAUCCGCGCCGCAUUAGCUAGUUGGUAAGGUAACGGCUUACCAAGGCGACGAUGCGUAGCCGACCUGAGAGGGUGAUCGGCCACACUGGAACUGAGACACGGUCCAGACUCCUACGGGAGGCAGCAGUAGGGAAUCUUCCGCAAUGGGCGAAAGCCUGACGGAGCAACGCCGCGUGAGUGAUGAAGGUCUUCGGAUCGUAAAACUCUGUUAUUAGGGAAGAACAAAUGUGUAAGUAACUAUGCACGUCUUGACGGUACCUAAUCAGAAAGCCACGGCUAACUACGUG
rnacentral:rRNA from 1 species